GACGUAGGGGGCUAGCGUUGUCCGGAUUUAUUGGGCGUAAAGAGCGUGUAGGCGGCCAGGUAGGUCUGCUGUGAAAACUCGAGGCUUAACCUCGAGAUGUCGGCGGAAACCAUCUGGCUAGAGUCCGGAAGAGGAGAGUGGAAUUCCUGGUGUAGCGGUGAAAUGCGCAGAUAUCAGGAAGAACACCCGUGGCGAAGGCGGCUCUCUGGGACGGUACUGACGCUGAGACGCGAAAGCGUGGGGAGCGAACAGG
rnacentral:rRNA from 1 species